ACCCCGGGGAGGGAGGUGCGGAGCCGGGACCCUGCAGAGCCCGGCCCGACCCCGGAGCUGCCCCGCGGGCUGCGAGCGGCGGAGCGCGGCUCGAUGCUUCCCUCUGCCGGGGCUGCGGGACGGGGCCGGGAGCCGUGGGGAUGCGUGGUGGGACCGCGACCCUCAUCCCACAUCUGCAUCCCGCAUCCAUCCCACAUCCACAUCCACAUCCCACAUCCCACAUCCUCAUCCCACAUCCAUCCCACAUCUCACAUCCUCAUCCCACAUCCCACAUCCACAUCCCACAUCCUCAUCUCACAUCCCACAUCUCACACUCCACAUCUCACAUCCCACAUCCCACAUCCAUCCCACAUCUCACAUCUCACACUCCACAUCUCACAUCCCACAUCCAUCCCACAUUUCACAUCCCACAUCCAUCCCACAUCCCACACUCCACAUCUGCAUCCCACAUCCCCCAUCCCACAUCCCCAAAUGUAACAGGGAUGUGGAAUGCGGGAUGGGGGAUGUUGGAUGGGGGAUGUGGGAUGCAGAUAUGGAGUGUGGGAUGUGGGAUGCAGAUGUGGGAUGCAGAUGUGGGAUGGGGGAUGCAGGGUAAGGGAUGCAGAGGUAGAAGCAGGAGGUGGGAUGAGAUGAGACUGAGAUGAGACUGAGAUGAGACUGAGAUGAGAUGAGAUGAGACUGAGAUGAGAUGAGAUGAAGAUGAGAUGAGAUGAGAUGAGAUGAGAUGAGAUGAGAUGAGAUGAGAUGAGAUGAGAUGAGAUGAGAUGAGAUGAGAUGAGAUGAGAUGAGAUGAGAUGAGAUGAGAUGAGAUGAGAUGAGAUGAGAUGAGAUGAGAUGAGAUGAGAUGAGAUGAGAUGAGAUGCGAUGCAGAAUCCAGAGGCAGGAGGCAGAUGCAGGAUGCAAGAUGCAGCUGUGGUAUGUUCAAAAUGCAUAUGCAGAUGUGGAUGCAGAUGUGGAUGCAGGGUGAAGGAGAUGGAUGCAGAUGUGGAUGUAGCUGUGGAUGCGGCUGUGGAUGCAGAUGCGGAUGCAGCUGUGGAUGCAGCUGUGGAUGCAGCUGUGGACCGGAUGCUCCAGUCCCUGCCCCAUCGCCUGUGUCCCAGGCGGCAGCAGGGCUCCCCAGGCGCCGAGGGCAGGCAGGGCUCCCCAGGCGCCGAGGGCAGGAGCCAUCCCAGGGACACGGGUGCCACAGCAGAGGCACCCGAGGCUCCGGGUGCCCUGGCAGCCCCUCCCCGGGAAGGUGUUCCUUCUGCUCCUCCUUUGGCUCUUUGCUGCUGUCCCCGGGGCAGGGAGGCAGCGCCGAGUCGGGUCCCCACGAGGGGAUUCUCUCCUGCAGAGGAACCUCAGCAAAGCCUCAGUCAGAGACAGGAUCCGCCUGUCCGGGGGGGUCUGGGGGUAAAAAUGGCACCACGUCCUGCCUCAGGAAUCACAGGAUCAUUAGAGCUGUAAAAGAUGGAGACAAACUGUUUACAAGGCAGGGAGGGACAGACCCAGGGAAUGGAGGGACAGACCCAGGGAAUGGAGGGACAGGACACAGGGAAUGGAGGGACAGACCCAGGGAAUGGCUCCCAGUGCCAGAGGGCAGGGCUGGGUGGGAUUUUGGGCAGGAAUUGUUUCUGGCAGGGUGGACAGCCCUGGCACAGGGUGCCCAGAGCAGCCCCUGGAUCCCUGGCAGUGCCCAAGGCCAGGCUGGACACUGGGGACAGUGGGAGGUGUCCCUGCCGUGGCAGGGUGGCACUGGAUGA
rnacentral:lncRNA from 1 species